rnacentral:rRNA from 1 species
GUGGGGAAUAUUGGACAAUGGGCGAAAGCCUGAUCCAGCCAUGCCGCGUGUGUGAAGAAGGUCUUCGGAUUGUAAAGCACUUUAAGUUGGGAGGAAGGGCAGUAAGUUAAUACCUUGCUGUUUUGACGUUACCGACAGAAUAAGCACCGGCUAACUUCGUGCCAGCAGCCGCGGUAAUACGAAGGGUGCAAGCGUUAAUCGGAAUUACUGGGCGUAAGGCGCGCGUAGGUGGUUUUGUAAGUUGGAGGUGAAAUCCCCGGGCUCAACCUGGGAACUGCCUCCAAAACUGCAUGACUAGAGUACGGUAGAGGGUAGUGGAAUUUCCUGUGUAGCGGUGAAAUGCGUAGAUAUAGGAAGGAACACCAGUGGCGAAGGCGACUACCUGGACUGAUACUGACACUGAGGUGCGAAAGCGUGGGGAGCAAACAGGAUUAGAAACCCUUGUAGUCC